rnacentral:lncRNA from 1 species
GACUUGGGAAGCAGUGUUUGUAGAGCGAGCCCAGUUUGUUUUUCUUAGGGUUAAGUGCUUUCCAUUCCUCUGCUCCAACCUCAAGUCAAGCCCUCGGUGACACUAUUGACAUCUAGUUAUGACGGGAAUGUCAAGGACAACCCGUGUAUCAGAUUUAGUCAUCUAUUUGCACCAAGCCUGUGAAUUGCAGUCAGGGCUGGAGGCUGAGGAUCCUCAAGAGAGAGAGGCCCCAGGGACUGGGAGAGUGUCAGGAUGGAAGGAGACAGCCCUUGAAUAAGUGUGUUGAGGACUGCUGGACCAUACACAAUGAACUGCGAUCUGGAGAAAUUUUUGGAGUCAGAGUUGGAGUGUUGAGUGGAAAAACAUACUGUGUGUCAGAAAUCAUCUGUUUGGAAAUCAAGACAGAGUUACCUCUGUGGUCUGACUUCUCCUCUCUUUGUGUCGAUGGCUCCUCCCGGGACCAAGCUGGGAUGCUGCAGAGUGAUGAGGCCAACUCACGCCAAGACCUUUUGGCUGCACUUGGCAGUAAGUAGCUUACAGUUUGACAACGUCCCCUACAAAUUCUGGAGUCCACAAUUGAGCACAUUACCCCAGACGUGGCUUAGCAAAGCUGGACACAGAGGAUUCUGGUGGGAUCUUGGCCUCAGGUGAGACUAAUUUUUAUAGCUGGCUCAUGUUGAUCUUGGGGCCAACUAAAUGCCCAGAUGAUUUUCAUAUGAAUUCUUAACACCUGGCCUCCCUCCACUAUUCUAAACUCAAAUAUAGGAUUUACAU